GGAACUUCCUGGGUGAGAAGUCUGGAGGAGGACGAAAGCGCUCGGGAGCCUAUUUCUGGCUUUAAUAACAGCCUUGGUGACAACCAACCGCAUGAGAAGGGUGCUGGCAGGCGGGUCCGCCAGAGAACAGUGGCACCUCCUGCCUGGAACAUGGGUUUUCUGUGAGGUCUUGGUGGCCUGUAAUGCAGGGAUGGGGCAGGGAAUGUGGGAUGCAUUCUUAGUCGUGAGAAAGCACAGAUGCCUGAGAAAGGAUGGAAAGAGGAGGAAAACCAAUGCCAUGACAGGGCUUCAAAAGAAUCCUUGAAAUACAGCUGAGGAGGCUGUGUGAGUCAAGUGUAGAGGGUGAGGGCAGAAGCCCGGCCACCUCCUCGCUCAUGUCCUUGAGGGUUCUCCUAGCCUCUCUGUGCCUCAGUUCCUCAUCAGUAGAAUGGGCAGAAUAAUAGCACUUUCUUCACAGACUGUCAAGAUCAAAUGAGUUAAUACAAACCUGCAAAGAGCUGAGGAUGAUACUCUGCUUGUAUCAAGAAAGGUAAACAAUUAUUACAGUAGAAAGCGCUCUGGAGUAGGAAUCAUAAGACUGAGAUUUUUUUUUUUCAUUUGUUUGUUUGUUUUAAGAAGCAGCUUUAUUUACUUAUUUAGGUUUGGCCGUACUGUGCCACAUGUUUCCUGACCAGGUAUCGAACCUACACCCCCUGCAGUGAAAUCCAAGAAUCUUAAGCACUAGACCACCAGGGAAGUCCCCAGAAGUCUGAGUUUUAAUGCUGACUCUGCCUGUGACCAAGUGAAUGCCUCUUUGGGCCUCAGUUUCUUCAUUUGCAACAAGAAUAUGAGGGACUAGACAAAGUCAACCUUCUCUUCCAGCUCUAGCGUCCUAAGAUCUUGACUCUAAGACCAGGCAGAAGCUCUAUGUAGACUUGAUACAAGUCUACUUUGCUCCACAUUCUCUGGGGCACAUCACUGCAAAGCCCACCAUUUAGGAUGCAGGCUUUGGAGAUAAGCAUGUUUUCAACGCUUUGCUCCCCUCUUCAGAUAAAAUAAUGGCUAGGGAUGAUUGGUGGACCUUAGGUCAGUAAUACACGGGAAUGAAUUAAUUACUCCCAAAAUAAUGGUCCCUGGGUAAAGUCACACAGUGUCUCAGCGAGAAGGGAAAUGGAGGAAGAAUCAUGAGUGUAAAUUUCUGAUACACGAUUUUGUCUAUGGGGCAGGUUAGGUCCUGCCCCGUAAGAAAAGAUGAAAAGAAAAGCGAUUGUAGCAUGAAGAAUCUCGGUUAACUACAAGUAGAAAUCCAAUUAAUAGAAUAUGAAGGGAAUCAAAGCCUUGAACGUGAAACUGAGGGAGGUUAGGUAGGACCAGGCAAUGGACUAGGUUCUUGGGGUUCUGUCAAUCGCUGGUCCUGAGUCACCUGGGACCCUCUGGGAGUGUGUGUCUAGGUGUCUCUGGUAGAACCUGCCCUUCCUGGGCAUCUUGGAAGUUCCUCUGGAGUGAAGAUUAACUGGCCUUUUGUACAAAGCCCAGGGAAGGGCAACACUGCUUAAUGAUUCAGUGAUGUGCUACCGGCUGGGCUCUGCGAACUGAGCUCAGAGGAUGUUUGAAAGCUUCUACAGCCAUCAGACAGAAAUUGGAGUGACUCAGAUGACAGCAUUCUCGUCAUGCAAAUCAGAGGCUGCGUAUUCGGCAACUGGUCCAGAGAGAGAGAGAUAAGAGGGGAAAGAGUGGGAGGCAAGGGAAGAGAAGGUGGGCCUUCCAGAGGGUUAUCACCUGGACGCCCCCACCCCACAACUCCAAACCAAGGAAAGAAGCCAGCGGUAGAAGUGGACCCUGGAGUCUCUGUUCCAAUACCAGGGGUAGAAAGAAAUAAAAAGAAAUGAGAGUCUCGUAAGUAUUCUUGGUUUCCUGCAGAUGAAAGAAAUCCAAGGCGGCCAGACCCACCUGCACAAUGUGUGCAGACCUCCACCCAACUGAUGAGGAUCUGUUCCACACUGAAGACUCUCAAAAGACAGUAAUGGGGGAGAAGCAUUCACAUCACCAUUAAGGAAUGGUGAUUUCUUCAUAUAUUUGUAUAAUCAUUCAUUCAUUCGUUCCAUGUUUAUUGAGAUCCUACUGGAUGCAGAUGCUGGGCCAGGUGCUUAGUCCAUAAAGAGAAAUUAGAUACUGUCCCUGUAGGAUAUGGCCACAAGAACCAGUUGUCACAAUACAGCAGUGUAGAGCAGCUUAACAGAUAGAGGCGGUGAAUGCUGGAAAGCACAGACCUGGAGUCAGACCCGGGGCUCGGGAGACACCAUGCUGACCAGGAUCUUAAAGCAUUCAGCACAGAAUUAGUGUGAUCAUAUGCCCGGAGGUGUGCCAGGUGUGAAGGCUAGCAGGGAAGAAUGGAGAAAGGCUAGGGAAGAGUAAGGAAUGAAGACAUUUGGAGAACAGGACCAACCCAUGAAGGCUUAAAGAAUGAGGCUUAUGGACCGCCUUCACACACAUUCCCCGAGAGCAGAGGUGAGAGGGCCAGGUGUUUCUCAGCCAUGCCGUCCACCACUUCAGUCACUGGAUUCAAGCUGCCCCUUGAAAGAAUGUGACCUUGGCCAGGCCAUGCACCAAGGACCGAGGGCCAAUGGCUGCAGGCUGACUUUUGGCAGCACUCCUAGCAGCUGGGAGGUAAGUCCUUUGGUGUCAGUGGAAGGCUUGAGUGAUACAUCCCAGGGUCCAUACAGAGAGCGUGUCUGGGCGCAUCCUGAGGGUGUUGAGCCUUACUUCGCAGGCUGUGUGUACCCCUGUGUAUGCGCCUCUGUGUCUAUCAGCGCAUCGGCAUGUAGUAUGACCCUCUUGGAUCAGGGACUGUGACAGCUCUACGAGGGGCUUGCAGUUAAGCCUUGCCCUCCGCCACAUGAUUGUCCACACUGUUUCCAUGUCCCCCUUUCUUCCUAUCUCCUGUCCAGUUCGGGGCAAUCAGUGAAAAGUUGUGGAGUGUAGGAUUCAGAGUUGGGGGAGGGGGUGUCUAUGGACCCUCUCCCAAGAAUGCAUUUCUAUUCUCACUUACUGAGAGGGGGUGAGUGUGAACUAUCCUGUGAGGUUCCCCUGUGCAAAUCAGAAAAACGUCACCCUACUAGCAGACCUCAUGCGAAGGCACAGCCUGACAAUAAAUUAGACAGAGUCAGCUCCCAUUGGACCUCUCUACUGGGCACCCUCAAAGUUUGUCUUAUCUGGAUUGUAUUUCCUGAUCCACAAAAGUUAAAAAAGGACCAAGUCUCUCCAAGGAAAUAUUUUUGACCUCCAAGACCUGACCCUCCUAUCACACUGUUGUCAGAAAUUAGGAUAACAGUGCUUGCCACGGGACCAGGCUCCUGGGGCAGACUCUUGCCCAAAGACCCCUGGAAGUCUUGACUCUCCAAAUUCAGGGCAAAGGAGGAUCUAAGGACAGCCGUGGAGAGAGCAGAUGCAAGUAAGAAACGGAGCGUCUCCUGAGGUCAGCGCCCACAUCUGUCUCCCUCAUUAAAGGACAUGUGCUCAGCACUGGGUUUGUACACAGCACAUCCAGUGACCAAAUGGACGUGGGAAGAGAGGUCGGCAGGGACGAGCUAACUUUGCAGAGAUGAGAAAACCAGGUCAUUGAAUGCCCUGGACUUUCUGACGUUAGACCUAGGCAGAUUCUGUCAGUGGUUCAUCCAAACUUUGUAACUUAUGCUUCACCAAACGCUUUCUCAAAGAGCCUGUGACUCACUGUCAUAGAAAUAACAACUUUCUCUCUCAAAGGUUUAUACUGUCAUGUUAUUUUCCACAUGUAAUUACUGGCUAUGGCAGACUAACCCUACCGGGAACAGCACAGGGCAGAGUGAUGGGAGGCUUUGUGUCCUUGAAUUCUUGAGUGCUGGUGCUGUAGGAACCUUGAGAUUGUCUUAUCCAGUGCCCACAGCUCACUGCCCAGAGCAGAAUUCUGCCCAUCACCUUGUUUGAUUCAAUCCACAAGAUGGACACUGAAGACAUGCUUAUAUAAGGCAUGCCGUCUCCUGCUUAUCUCCUGCUGCCAGGCUACUGCACUCUACCACUGGCCGAAGCUCCUGGGGCACAGUGACUUGCCAAAGAUGUCUCAGCCGCUCACUGCAGGAUCAGGACCAAGGUCCCAGGCUUCUGUGGCAGAGCAGCGCCUUCUUAGCCCUGGGAGUCUCUGGUUCUUUCUUUUUGUUUUAAGGAUUGGCAGCUUUUCAUGUAUUCCUG
ensembl:lncRNA